CUUCUGCAGAUACACUUUGCCUGCCUCAUAGCAAUGUACUAUAAAAACUGUCUAAGUGGACCCUGAUUGAUUCUUCCUGACAAGAGUCCAUUCUCAUUCUUUGAAUGAACACUGGCUUUCCUCUGAGGACCCACAGUAUAAGAGUUAUGAGUAGUGUUAUUUCCCAAGAGAAUCAUGAACAAUGAAAAUAUUCCUAAUGAAGUCCUCCAGUGAGUCAAAGAAAAAAAUUUCCAGGAUGGAGCAGAGAGGAGAAAGAAAGGAAAGAAAAGUUAAGAUGUAGGAAAUUGGAUCAAGUUAGAAACACAGUCAUUGAAGGAAAGGAAAAUCAACUUUUCACACAACCAUCUGGGGAUGGUAAAUGUCCUUUGUACCACUUCUGGUGCCCGUAAAGAUUUCCAAAAUGAUCUCUCUGGAUUGCUUCCCAGCAGGACAUGCUACAAAAUAAACUGACCUGUGGUUCCCAACUACUAACAUAAGACUAAGUAAUUAAAAAUUGCCAUGAUUUCUA